rnacentral:lncRNA from 1 species
AGGGAAUGAGGAGUAGAACAUAAUCUCAGAGCUUGAAGGCAUCUCAUAAAUCAAUCCAUAACUCCUAUUUUACACCAGAGGGAAAAAAAAAGACCAAAGAAGAGUAGUGACUCGCCCAAGGUUACAUAGAUAAGAUUAGUUCCUAGUUCUGACUCCUAAUAGACUUGCUUUGCCUAUCUCUGAUGGCUCUUUCCAUUAAAGAGUACAACUGUUGAUAAGAACAUGGAGUAGUCAAAAGAAAUGGAUUAAUAGUCAACCAACCAGAUUUUGAAUCUUAUCUCUGCAACUUAACAUUUCUGUAAACUUUGACAGAUUACUUAAAUUUCCUAAUAAGACAGGAUGAUAUAGAACAAAUAUAUUUAAAACUGGAAAUCGGGAGACCUAGUUUUCAAUCUAGAUUCUAGUUGUAUGAUUACAGGACACAACACCUUUCCUGGCCUCAGUUAAUUUAUAUGUAAAAUCGGGAGUCAAGUUCCUCAAGAUCUGAAUCUAUGACCUGAUGUUCCUAUAAAUAAUAGAAAAAUAUGGUUUAAGAAGAAGAAAUGAAAGAUGCCAAAGACUUAUAGAUUAUACUGAAGCUUCCUGCCUGUAUAUUAUUAAUACUUCAAGAAAAGAACUUACAGGUGUUGGACAUGGUAAACCUAAUUGGCUAGAG